ACUCCUACGGGAGGCAGCAGUGGGGAAUAUUGCACAAUGGGCGCAAGCCUGAUGCAGCCAUGCCGCGUGUGUGAAGAAGGCCUUCGGGUUGUAAAGCACUUUCAGUCGUGAGGAAGGUAGUGUAGUUAAUAGCUGCAUUAUUUGUACGUUAGCGACAGAAGAAGCACCGGCUAACUCCGUGCCAGCAGCCGCGGUAAGUACGGAGGGUGCGAGCGUUAAUCGGAAUUACUGGGCGUAAAGCGCAUGCAGGUGGUUUGUUAAGUCAGAUGUGAAAGCCCGGGGCUCAACCUCGGAAUAGCAUUUGAAACUGGCAGACUAGAGUACUGUAGAGGGGGUUAGAAUUUCAGGUGUAGCGGUGAAAUGCGUAGAGAUCUGAAGGUAAUACCGGUGGCGAAGGCGGCCCCUGGACAGAUACUGACACUCAGAUGCGAAAGCGUGGGAGC
rnacentral:rRNA from 1 species